rnacentral:lncRNA from 1 species
GAAGCUGGGAUUCCAAUGGCAGGCAGGAAAUCUUGUACAUCUGUGAGCGUAAAUUUUUGUGGCCAUGGGAUGGACAAGAACCACAUGUUUACCUGAAGUCCUGUGACAUUUUGGUGUGCAGCAUGGGAGCUCCAAAAGUGGACACAAUUGGAAAAAAUGGUUACCAAGGCUUUGACUGGAAGGGUAUGCUUCCCUUUAAGGAGUCAAACUCUACCUACAGAGCC